rnacentral:rRNA from 1 species
GACGAACGCUGGCGGCGUGCUUAACACAUGCAAGUCGAACGGAAAGGCCCUGCUUUUGUGGGGUGCUCGAGUGGCGAACGGGUGAGUAACACGUGAGUAACCUGCCCUUGACUUUGGGAUAACUUCAGGAAACUGGGGCUAAUACCGGAUAGGAGCUCCUGCUGCAUGGUGGGGGUUGGAAAGUUUCGGCGGUUGGGGAUGGACUCGCGGCUUAUCAGCUUGUUGGUGGGGUAGUGGCUUACCAAGGCUUUGACGGGUAGCCGGCCUGAGAGGGUGACCGGCCAAAUUGGGACUGAGAUACGGCCCAGACGACUACGGGAGGCAGCAGUGGGGAAUAUUGCACAAUGGGCGGAAGCCUGAUGCAGCAACGCCGCGUGCGGGAUGACGGCCUUCGGGUUGUAAACCGCUUUCGCAUGUGACGAAGCGUGAGUGACGGUAAUGGGUAAAGAAGCACCGGCUAACUACGUG